rnacentral:rRNA from 1 species
GCGGCGGACGGGUGAGUAACGCGUGGGAACGUGCCCUUUGCUACGGAAUAGCCUCUGGAAACGGAGAGUAAUACCGUAUGUGCCCUUCGGGGGAAAGAUUUAUCGGCAAAGGAUCGGCCCGCGUUGGAUUAGGUAGUUGGUGGGGUAAUGGCCCACCAAGCCGACGAUCCAUAGCUGGUUUGAGAGGAUGAUCAGCCACACUGGGACUGAGACACGGCCCAGACUCCUACGGGAGGCAGCAGUGGGGAAUCUUAGACAAUGGGGGCAACCCUGAUCUAGCCAUGCCGCGUGAGUGAUGAAGGCCUUAGGGUUGUAAAGCUCUUUCAGCUGGGAAGAUAAUGACGGUACCAGCAGAAGAAGCCCCGGCUAACUCCGUGCCAGCAGCCGCGGUAAUACGGAGGGGGCUAGCGUUGUUCGGAAUUACUGGGCGUAAAGCGCACGUAGGCGGACUGGAAAGUUGGGGGUGAAAUCCCGGGGCUCAACCUCGGAACUGCCUU